GAUGAACGCUAGCUACAGGCUUAACACAUGCAAGUCGAGGGGAAACGACAUCGAAAGCUUGCUUUUGAUGGGCGUCGACCGGCGCACGGGUGAGUAACGCGUAUCCAACCUGCCCACCACUUGGGGAUAACCUUGCGAAAGUAAGACUAAUACCCAAUGAUAUCCCACGAAGGCAUCCGAAUGGGAUUAAAGAUUUAUCGGUGAUGGAUGGGGAUGCGUCUGAUUAGCUUGUUGGCGGGGUAACGGCCCACCAAGGCAACGAUCAGUAGGGGUUCUGAGAGGAAGGUCCCCCACAUUGGAACUGAGACACGGUCCAAACUCCUACGGGAGGCAGCAGUGAGGAAUAUUGGUCAAUGGGCGAGAGCCUGAACCAGCCAAGUAGCGUGCAGGACGACGGCCCUAUGGGUUGUAAACUGCUUUUAUAAGGGAAUAAAGUGGGUCUCGUGAGACUUUUUGCAUGUACCUUAUGAAUAAGGACCGGCUAAUUCCGUG
rnacentral:rRNA from 1 species